rnacentral:tRNA from 2 species
GCCGGAGUGGCUCAAUGGUAGAGCAACGCACUCGUAACGCGUAGGUUGGGUGUUCGAUUCACCUCUCCGGCA